CUUAAAUCCCACGGCCCAACCGUGGGGCUGGGGGAGAUACUGCUGGGCUAGGGGGCGGGAGAGGCCGAGGGUACUCCUGGGGUAGGGGCGAAAUCCUAUAAUCCUGGGAGGACCACCAGUGGCGAAGGCGCUCGGCCAGAACGCGCCCGACGGUGAGGGACGAAAGCUGGGGGAGCAAAGGGGAUUAGAUACCCCCGUAGUCCCAGCUGUAAACGAUGCGGGCUAGGUGUUGGGCGGACUUCGAGUCCGCCCAGUGCCGUAGGGAAACCAUUAAGCCCGCCGCCUGGGGAGUACGGCCGCAAGGCUGAAACUUAAAGGAAUUGGCGGGGGAGCACCACAAGGGGUGAAUGCUGCGGUUUAAUUGGAGUCAACGCCGGGAACCUUACCGGGGGCGACAGCAGGAUGACGGCCAGGCUGACGACCUUGCCAGACGCGCUGAGAGGAGGUACAUCGCCGUCGCCAGUUCGUGCCGUGAGGUGUCCGGUUAAGUUCGGCAACGAACGAGACCCCCACCCCCAGUUGCUACCGCACCCCUGCGGGGGUACGGGCACUCUGGGGGGACUGCCGGCGCUGAGCCGGAGGAAGGAGGGGGCCACGGCAGGUCAGCAUGCCCCGAAACCCCCGGGCCACACGCGGCAUGCAAUGGUGGGGACAAUGGGUUCCGACCCCGAAAGGGGGAGGCAAUCCCAUAAACCCCACCUCAGUUGGGAUUGAGGGCUGCAACUCGCCCUCACGAACAUGGAAUCC
rnacentral:rRNA from 1 species